GACGAACGCUGGCGGCGUGCCUAACACAUGCAAGUCGAGCGAAUGAAGUUCCUUCGGGGAUGGAUUUAGCGGCGGACGGGUGAGUAACGCGUGGGCAACCUGCCUCAUAGAGGGGAAUAGCCUUCCGAAAGGGAGAUUAAUACCGCAUAAGGUUGUAGUACCGCAUGAUACAGCAAUUAAAGGAGCAAUCCGCUAUGAGAUGGGCCCGCGGCGCAUUAGCUAGUUGGUGAGGUAACGGCUCACCAAGGCGACGAUGCGUAGCCGACCUGAGAGGGUGAUCGGCCACAUUGGGACUGAGACACGGCCCAGACUCCUACGGGAGGCAGCAGUGGGGAAUAUUGCACAAUGGGGGAAACCCUGAUGCAGCAACGCCGCGUGAGUGAUGACGGCCUUCGGGUUGUAAAGCUCUGUCUUCAGGGACGAUAAUGACGGUACCUGAGGAGGAAGCCACGGCUAACUACGUGCCAGCCGCCGCCGUAACAC
rnacentral:rRNA from 1 species